rnacentral:rRNA from 1 species
GAUGAUUGCAGUACUUUAAUUGACUGUCAGUCUCUUGAAUAGUAAGUUCUUAGUGGGCCUAUUUUUUGGUAAGCAGAACUGGCGAUGUGGGAUGAACCAAACGUAAAGUUAAAGUGCCUAAAAAUACGUUCAUCAGACACCACAAAAAGGUGUUGAUUCAUCUUGACAGUUGGACAGUGGCCAUGGAAGUCGGAAUCUGCUAAGGAGUGUGUAACAACUCACCAACCGAAUGAAUUAGCCCUGAAAAUGGAUGGCGCUUAAACGUAUUACUUAUACUUUACCAUUAAGAUAAAUGCUAAAUCUUAAUGAGUAGGAGGGCGUAUGGAUAAUGUAGAAGGCUAACAGUGAUGUUGGCUGGAAUUAUCUUUAGUGCAGAUCUUGGUGGUAGUAGCAAAUAUUCAAUAGAGAACAUUGAAGACUGAAGUGGAG